rnacentral:rRNA from 1 species
AACGAACGCUGGCGGCAUGCCUAACACAUGCAAGUCGAACGAGACCUUCGGGUCUCGUGGCGCACAGGUUCGUAACCCGUGGGAACAUGCCCUUAGGAUCGGCAUAACUCCCCGAAAGGAGUGCUAAUACCGCAUGAUGUCUCCGGACCAAAGAUUUAUCGGCGUUGGAUGGGUCCGCGUUGGAUUAGCUAGGUGGUAGGGUAAAAGCCUACGAAGGCGACGAUCCAUAGCUGGUCUGCGAGGAUGAGCAGCCACACUGGGACUGAGACACGGCUCAGACUCCUACGGGAGGCAGUAGUGGAGAAUAGUGGACGGGGGGAGAAAGGAUGAACCAGCAAUGCGGGGUGAGAGAUGAUGGUCGUAGUGUAGUGAAGUUUCAUUACCCGAGAUGAUAAUGACAGUACCGGGAGAAUAAGCUCCGGCUAACUACGUG